AUUCAACAACAGAAAGAUAUAUUUUCUGGACUUGAUAUUUAGCUUGAAUGGAUUGAAAAAUAGGUAGGAUCAUCCUUUAGCAACCAAUGUAGUCGAGAUGUUUGACCUUUUGUUUUGUAUUUUUAAAUUUGAUAUAUAUACCUUUUGGAAACAUAGAUUUAUUGAAUAUGUGAUCAAUUUGGCUAAUCUUGAUUUGCUUCAUAUCCUCGUGGUCGCAUCAAGGGAAAAUUACUAGGGUGUAAUGGUUAAAGAAAUUUAAAAUAUAUUUGGCUAUGAAUAGAAGUACCUGUGCAAAGUACAUGAGGCCAAUAAACAACCAGAUAGCUAAAGAUAUGAAAAUUUAAGUUUCAUAUGUAAACAUUUUGUGGCCAAGCAUUUUUAAGAAAAAACUAAUUUAGAAAUAAAUGGUCCAUAGUUUAUGUUGUUUGGGAUGGAAAUUGAUUGAUGUGGACCUUUUAAUUUGAAACUUGUAGAUUUAUAUGAUUUUUUUCAUUAUUUAUGUUUUUAUUUUAUUGUUUUCUCAUCCAUGCUUAGUUUCGUCAACGAGGUUUUCACUGGCAGCCUUAUGCCUUAGCAACUAGAGGUUUUGGAUUCUAUUCCUACAUCUGACUUCCCUAAACAUUUAGAUUUAGAUAGCUACAAUGCAGGUAGAUCUUCCUCGCUUUCUCUUUUUCUGAAAAAUAUAUGCUACGUCAUAUCCAGCAUUAUCUAUAAAACCAACUAAAAGCCCGCUUGGAAAAUUCAGCAGGAUUGGGCUGACUUUGCUGUUCAAUCAUGGAUUAGAUGGCGUAUUUAGACGAGGCCCAUAUCAACUUAAUCUUUCUAGCCUAAAUCCUGUCUUUUUUUCCUUUUUGCAAUCCAAUAGAUCUACAUAGAAUAUCAAUAGCAUCGUACCCGUGAUUCAGAAUAUAAAUUAAAAUAAAAUUCGGAGAAUGUGAACAACUACCGCAUACCUACACGGUACUGUCCCCAAAAGCAUGCAAGACUUCCAACCUUGUAAAACUUCAAUAUAAUAUCUAUAAUGGCAAAUUCUAGGCAGUGAUAACAAAACCAGUAACUUGCAUACAUCAAUUAUAACAUCAGCUUUUUUACAACAUUGUAUAUCAGUUUUUUAAAUUACAUCAUUAAACAUAACUAUCUCAAGAACUAACCACUUUUAUAUAGACCGACCAUAUCUCUACAUGCAAAUCCCUAAAAUACCAAGUACGGUUCCAAAAUACUAUCAAUUAGAAAUUAUUCUAAUAAGUAUAUAAUCAUUAAUUUACAAAGUACUAUGAAUACCCGAUGCUUGAAAUACUUAUAAUUCUAUGAUUUAUGUUUGGCUCAAUAAGAUCAGUAUAACAAAUAUAUAGCAUGAUUUCCAAAACAUUGGAUAGUAACUAAAUCAAUAAAUAUUCUCAAAAUAUAUGCAUUUAUUACUUUAUGUAAUUACUUUGAUUAAGUAGAGGUUACUUACCUUGCAGAAAUCCUCUAUCAGAUUAUCUAAAACUUCUCUGAUACUCUUUGGAACCAAUAAUCCAAAUACAUAUAUGUAAUCUGAAAUUAGUAUCACAUUAUUCCCUUGAAAUAAUUUGUAAAACCCCUUAAAAUUUCUAAAAUCUAGAUUUCUGAUUCACUAUUUUUUCUACACAAUAGUUCCAAUCUGAGAUUUAUUUAUCCCAUCAAAUAGCAUCUAAAAAUUCUCAAACUUUGCAAAAUAGUUGAGCAAUCAGUUGACAACAUUUAGUUAAAUUUUUAGAUUAAAACACUUAACCAUUAAAGAAUUAAAAAUCCUAAAUGACCACAGAUAGAUUCAAUCUGCCCCAAAAAUUAGCAUUAAUCUUUCUUUAACAGUCUUCCCCUAUUACUCUAAUCCAUCUUACAAUUAAAUUUCAGAUUUAAAUCAAAUUAAAUAUCAAAAAAGGUUUAGGGUUUACUCACAUUGAUAGUAAAGAGAAUCUCAGAGCAGCAACCACAUCAAAGAAAUAAAAAGCAGAAAAGAGAAGGAAGAAGAAGAGGAAGAAGAGAAGAAAGAAAGAAAGAUGGAGAAAGAGAGAUAGGGCGUGGAGGAAAGAAGGAGAGAAAAGAGAGUGCAUGUGUGAGAGAGAAAGAAGAGGGAGG
rnacentral:lncRNA from 1 species